GACAUUUGACCUCAAAAGAUGCUGAUGAAGAUCUCCCUGAUUUUUCUUUUCCUGUCAUGUUUUAACCACCAGUUAUUCCUGUCAACCAUCAUGACGAAGGGCAUUUCAGGAACCUGGUUCAAGUCGUACCUCUCAGUGUUUCUCAUGGGUAUUUCCCUUGAAAAUGAUAAGAAAGCAACAGAAAGGAAAGUUCAGGAGGAGGAAUGAAAAUCACCCAACCUGAUAAGAGACUGACCAUGACUGGAAGAGGCAGAAAGGUCUUAACCCGGACAAGAGGAACUAAGCCAAGAAAUGACAUGGACUGCACCAGCAUUGGAGGCAUCUGUCAGCGUAAUACCUACAUUUGUCAGGGCAGGUACCUAAAGAAUAUAUGUCGAGGAGAGAUAUCACGUCAGUGUUGUACACCAGCUGCAGCGUGGAGUACUUUGUGUGCUGGUAGUCAUCACAACAGAGUGCGAGCUUGUGACAGCUAUGGUUGUGGCGGCUUUAACUCCAAAAGUGAUAGGGGUAUCCACAAGGGAAUUGAUAUUGUGUGUGGUGAUUAUGGCAUCAUCAACGCCCCUUUUUCUGGAAACCUUGGUGGUCCUGUUGGGAGAGCAGUGGGAGACUCUGUUCAAUAUGAUGGUGUCAAACUCUAUAACAAAGUGCACUGUGUGAAGAUCUUCAACAUCCGUCCAUAUGGUUACUUUGGCUCUGUUGUUCAGGGAAAGGCCAUGGGUUACCUGUUACCACAACAGGAGAAUUUCUCUGGCAUCACCUCACACCUUGAACUUCAGAUGUGUGACGGCUCUGAUCCCUCGCCCUUCAUAUGAGACACAUUUAUAGAAGAUUACACCAGUCAUCAUAAACGCUUUCACUAGGAAUUAUAGUGCGUGGCUUUAAAACUUCAUUUAAAUAACAUGACAAAUUGACUGUUUUUACAAGCAAUACAAUAUGUAAUCAUUUCAUGAGAAUGAAAAUAAAGUACCACAAGAUGGCAGCACUAAUCUACAGAAUAAUAGGGAAAUAACAGCAAUAAUACUAACUAUUAUUAAUCCUCUAAUUAUUAUUAUUAUUAGCCUUUUAUCUUUUUUUCUCCACACCUUCUCAUUCACUUGAUUUACAUUUAAAUGAUGUGAAAAUAAAAAUCUCAGACUAUGAAUGAACUGCACAAAGAUUUGUGAUCAAAUUAUUUACAGUAGUUUUAAUGAGAAUGUUUUUGGUUUCAGUGUUUGCAAAUACAUCUAAAUUUUAUUUUUUUUCCAGAUCGUAUACUGGCAACUUGAUGUCCCACCAUAUGAUAUUUACUGUUACUUCUAGCUUCAUUUUAUUGGAUGACUAACAUUGUGCUUGCGUAGGAAAGAUACUUGCUCUCUGAAGAAAAUUCAGUUGUUAUGGUAACUAUUUUUUAGGCAUCCCAAGAGGGAAAAUUGCAUGCAUGAUGCUGCAUAAUCGAUUGUGAAUAAACAAUCUGGAGGAGGAAGAGAA